CAUCAUGAGCAGUUCAGUGGGGUUCAUUGUCUUGCUCAAGGACACUUGGACGUAUUCUCAGAGAAGCUGGGAUUCAAACCAGCAACCUUCCGAUUCCUAGACAACCUGCUGUACCUCCUGAGCCACUGUCGCUCCUGCAACCACUGUUGCCCCUGUGAGAUGACAUAAGUUUCAAGUGUGAUAACGCUAACAUCCCACUGUCUGUGCUUACAGGACGUACAGGCAUGCUGACCCUUAUGGCGAUGAAGUGGAAUCAGCAAAAGGUUGCGAAUUUGGCCACGUCACUGACCCGAAGAUAUCACCGGACCAACAAGGCACUGCAAAAACAGGUGCAGACCCUGGAGUCCAUGACAGAGCAGUUGGGAGUGGCAGACAGCCAAUUGGACGGCUGGGUGGAUGACGUGAUAUACUGGGCAGAAACAACAACGACAGCAACAACAGCAGCAGCUGACUUAGGCAGUAAGAUCGAGGUCCUUGUGGCCGGGAUAAAACAACAGACACAGCGGCUUUACAAGGAAAGAGACGGCAACAAGGGUCAUGCCAGGCUCCGUGCGAAGAUCAGGACGGAGAAGGGGAUCCUGGCUGCUGUUGUGGAGAAGUACAACAGCAUGGUUCCAAGCACACAAACUGUCUGUUUUGAAACCAUUCUGUCUCAAGAAACAGCAUGGCCGUGGCAGCAACCACAAAGUGAUUCUGUUGAUUUAAGGACCAAAAAAAAAGCCUUUGACCAAAUCAUGGCAUUAAGAAGACUCCAGGAGGAGAAGAAAAUUUUGGUCACAGAGAUGGACCGUCAUUGGAAUUCCCUUUUGAGUCGUGGAGACACCCUGGAAAAGCUGUCCCACCUGGUGUC